CAGUAGCCGCGGUAAUACGAAGGGGGCUAGCGUUGCUCGGAUUUACUGGGCGUAAAGGGCGCGUAGGCGGACAGUUAAGUUGGGGGUGAAAGCCCGGGGCUCAACCUCGGAAUUGCCUUCAAUACUGGCUGUCUUGAGUGUGAGAGAGGUGUGUGGAACUCCGAGUGUAGAGGUGAAAUUCGUAGAUAUUCGGAAGAACACCAGUGGCGAAGGCGGCUUACUGGCUCAUUCUAGACGCUGAGGUGCGAAAGCGUGGGGAGCAAACAGGAUUAGAUACCCCCGUAGUCCCUGUCUCUUAUAC
rnacentral:rRNA from 1 species